GUGAAAACGCGGAGACAAUCAGGUGUCCUGCAGCCACACCAGACCCCAUAACACUUUUACCACUUUUAAGGUUUACUCUCUUAUCGCACAGUCCUGUCUGCUAAAAAAUCCCAAUGGCACAUUUUUGGUAAAUCUUCAGGUGAAUCGGCAUCACUCUGCAAAGGGUUUUCUCCAUGAUUUCUGCACUAGGUGGCGCUGUGACAUCAGGAGCAGACCUGCUUUGUUAAAGAGAGACGGAUGAUGUGUCCGUCGGUGGCUUCCUGCCUGCGGAUGUGAACCAUCUGGACCGUGGAGGUGAAUACAGAGCGAGAGCAGAUUCCUAGAAAGCAGCCGGGUCCGUCUGAGGG